rnacentral:rRNA from 1 species
GACGAACGCUGGCGGCGUGCCUAAUACAUGCAAGUUGAGCGCUGAAGGUUGGUACUUGUACCAACUGGAUGAGCAGCGAACGGGUGAGUAACGCGUGGGGAAUCUGCCUUUGAGCGGGGGACAACAUUUGGAAACGGAUGCUAAUACCGCAUAAAAACUUUAAACACAAGUUUUAAGUUUGAAAGAUGCAAUUGCAUCACUCAAAGAUGAUCCCGCGUUGUAUUAGCUAGUUGGUGAGGUAAAGGCUCACCAAGGCGAUGAUACAUAGCCGACCUGAGAGGGUGAUCGGCCACAUUGGGACUGAGACACGGCCCAAACUCCUACGGGAGGCAGCAGUAGGGAAUCUUCGGCAAUGGACGAAAGUCUGACCGAGCAACGCCGCGUGAGUGAAGAAGGUUGUCGGAUCGUAAAACUCUGUUGGUAGAGAAGAACGUUGGUGAGAGUGGAAAGCUCAUCAAGUGACGGUAACUACCCAGAAAGGGACGGCUAACUACGUG